UCAAAGGUCAGGGAGGGAAGUCAGAUCGUGUCAGGUUCUGACUCUCCCCAGAUGAAACAAGAAGUCACCGAUGCUUUCCAUCAGCCGAGAGCCAUCAUUAUGCAGUCUUUAAGUCUCACUGGCUGGUCCAUGAAGAAGAGAGCAGUAGAGCGAGUGAGGGGGGAGGAAGGAUGACGCUAUUAGCACAACGCAGGGGAUAGGCUGGUGAUUUAACUAGGAUGAUGGGCAUGAGCUUUGAAGACUGGUCGGAUUCCUGAGCAUUAUUGUGAAAGUAGCUCUGACAGAUGUGAGAACUUAGAUACGAGCUGUGAGAAAAACGAGGGAGAGAGAAGUAAGGCCUGAGUAUCUAACCUCGGGUAACUGCAGAUGCUUACCAAGACAGAGGAGAAAGAGAAAAGAGCGGUUUGGGGAGGAAGGUCAAGUGUGCACUGAGUACGCUCAGCAGAGCUGCCUAUGCAAAUCCUGCACACACUGGAACCUCAAAAGAGAAACUGGGAGGAGUCUGUACAAAGGAGAUAUUUCAAGACGUGGGACAAGACAAGAGGAUCAACAAAGGAGAGGCCCAGGCCUGAGCUCAAGACCAAAUACCACACGGUAGUCGAAAUAUGAGAUGACGUGCACUUGCGUGGGAAAUCUUCUGGUCGAAGAAUAAGAGUUACUGAAGGAUGUGGGACCUCAACCCUAAGAAUGCUGAGAAUGGGAGACAUGGUCUUCCCCAGGGAAGAGCCGGCCCUAAUUGGUAACCACAUACCAAGGGAUCAGCCCUGAAACAUACACACAGCAGAAUCUGUUUGGAUGAAAAAGAUUAAAGCAGCUGGGAGUAGAAGGAAACUAACCACUGACUUCCUACCGCCUUUGUCCCAGAAUAAAGGGAUUCUACACAACAAGCGUGAAACGUUAAUGUUUUGGACAUCCCCACCAAGUCUUGCCUAAGUAAAAAAGUCCACAUAAUCCUUCCCUUCAUCACGUCAGACUUUCUCCUCACUGUAGACAUUAUCGUCCAACUCCCAUUAAAGAUAUGCUGGAACUGUACAUGGUGGAACACGUCUUUAAUCCCAGCACUUAGAGGCAGAGGCAGAGG